UACGGAGGGGGCCAGCGUUGUUCGGAAUCAUUGGGCGUAAAGGGCGCGUAGGCGGCCGAUCAAGUCCGACGUGAAAUUCCUCGGCUCAACCGAGGGUCUGCGUCGGAUACUGCUCGGCUUGAGUCCCGGAGAGGGUAGUGGAAUUCCCAGUGUAGCGGUGAAAUGCGUAGAUACUGGGAGGAACACCGGUGGCGAAGGCGGCUACCUGGACGGGUACUGACGCUGAGGCGCGAAAGCGUGGGGAGCAAACAGG
rnacentral:rRNA from 1 species